rnacentral:rRNA from 1 species
AGAGUUUGAUCCUGGCUCAGGACGAACGCUGGCGGCGUGCUUAACACAUGCAAGUCGAACGGAGAACUUUCUUCGGAAUGUUCUUAGUGGCGGACGGGUGAGUAACGCGUAGGCAACCUGCCCUCUGGUUGGGGACAACACUCCGAAAGGGAUGCUAAUACCGAAUGUAAUCCUUCUUUCGCAUGAAGGAAGGAUGAAAGAUGGCCUCUACUUGUAAGCUAUCGCCAGAAGAUGGGCCUGCGUCUGAUUAGCUGGUAGGUGGGGUAACGGCUCACCUAGGCGAUGAUCAGUAGCCGGUCUGAGAGGAUGAACGGCCACAUUGGGACUGAGACACGGCCCAAACUCCUACGGGAGGCAGCAGUGGGGAAUCUUCCGCAAUGGACGAAAGUCUGACGGAGCAACGCCGCGUGAGUGAUGAAGGUCUUCGGAUUGUAAAACUCUGUUGUCAGGGACGAAUGCACCGAUCUAUAAUACAUUUUGGUGUUGACGGUACCUGACGAGGAAGCCACGGCUAACUACGUGCCAGCAGCCGCGGUAAUACGUAGGUGGCAAGCGUUGUCCGGAAUUAUUGGGCGUAAAGAGCAUGUAGGCGGGCUUUUAAGUCCGACGUGAAAAUGCGGGGCUUAACCCCGUAUGGCGUUGGAUACUGGGAGCCUUGAGUGCAGGAGAGGAAAGGGGAAUUCCCAGUGUAGCGGUGAAAUGCGUAGAUAUUGGGAGGAACACCAGUGGCGAAGGCGCCUUUCUGGACUGUGUCUGACGCUGAGAUGCGAAAGCCAGGGUAGCAAACGGGAUUAGAUACCCCGGUAGUCCUGGCCGUAAACGAUGGGUACUAGAUGUAGGAGGUAUCGACCCCUUCUGUGCCGGAGUUAACGCAAUAAGUACCCCGCCUGGGGACUA